rnacentral:lncRNA from 1 species
GUGGGUCUUACAAUUUUGCGUCCGUCCGUCCGUCUGAGUGAUUAAGGUAACAAUUUUGAAAGAUGUAAGCUGUGAUGUCGGAUUAAUAAAUAAUAAACCAAAAUUUCAUCUAAAAAAACCCGUUUAUUUUGAAAUUUGAACUACUAUAAUUUAAAGAGAUAGUAUUUGGGAUUUUGAUCUAUAUGUUACAAAUCACUGUUGAACUAUUAAAUGUAUUAUGGCAAAAAGCGCGACAACCAGUCGUAUCGAAAAAUUCUUU